rnacentral:rRNA from 1 species
UACGUAGGAGGCGAGCGUUGUCCGGAGUUACUGGGCGUAAAGGGUGCGCAGGCGGUCCGUGCAAGUGUGGGGUGAAAUCUCCCGGCUCAACCGGGAGGGUGCCGCGCAAACUGCCGGACUUGAGGCUCGGAGAGGGGCGUGGAAUUCCGGGUGGAGCGGUGAAAUGCGUAGAGAUCCGGAGGAACACCGACGGCGUAAGCAGCGCCCUGGACGAGACCUGACGCUCGGGCACGAAACGCUGGGGA